rnacentral:rRNA from 1 species
GUCCACGCUGUAAACGAUGGGCACUAGGUGUGGGGGUGUCGACUCCCUCCGUGCCGAAGCUAACGCAUUAAGUGCCCCGCCUGGGGAGUACGGCCGCAAGGCUAAAACUCAAAGGAAUUGACGGGGGCCCGCACAAGCAGCGGAGCAUGUGGUUUAAUUCGACGCAACGCGAAGAACCUUACCUGGGCUUGACAUGUGGAUGACCGGCCUGGAAACAGGUCUUCCCUUCGGGGCAUCUUCACAGGUGGUGCAUGGCUGUCGU